CCUACGGGAGGCAGCAGUAGGGAAUCUUCCACAAUGGGCGAAAGCCUGAUGGAGCAACGCCGCGUGGGUGAAGAAGGUCUUCGGAUCGUUAAACCCCGUUGUUACAGAAGUAAGGUCGUGAGAGUAACUGUUCACGUUUCUACGGUAUCUAACCAGACAGCCACGGCCAACUACGUGCCAGCAGCCGCGGUAAUACGUAGGUGGCAAGCGUUAUCCGGAUUUAUUGGGCGUAAAGGGAACGCAUGUGGUCUUUUAAGUCUGCUGUGAAAGCCUUCGGCUUAACCGGAGUAGUGCAGUGGAAACUGGGGGACUUGAGAUCAGAAGAAGCAGGUGGAACUCGAUGUGUAGCGGUGAAAUGCGUAGAUAU
rnacentral:rRNA from 1 species